AGAUCUAAUUAAACAAAUAAAAUUGGUCAGCAAAGAUUUUCAUGUUGCACCCAAGAAUACCCACAUAGAUGUCUGAGGGGAUUUAAAGCUCUUUACAUUUAUCAAUUAUUUUACUGAUAGGUGCUUCCCCGUCAGCUUAUUAUCCAUCCACAUACUGAGAAAUGUUACCACUGACACUUCCUCAAGAUAUUAAUCAUAUAAUUUAAAAUCAACUGCAAGUCUAUUAAUGCUGUUUGUAAACCACGUAAUGUGUUUUAACGACUGAAAGCUUACAAUCCUCAUCAAUCUGCCCACUGUUUGAGCUAUUAAUUGUAAAUUGCAGUUAAUACCUCAAAUCCAUAAAGCUAUUGUGAUUUACCCAGGGAAUCCCAUUUUCCCAUCUCAGAGAAAAUAUCAUUAAUCAUAAUAUUAAAUAAUGAAGGGCUACAAAUACUGCCUUGUGGGAUUCCAUUCUCUAUCUCAUAGACACAAACAUGCCGACCGUUACUUGGACAGUCCAUACAAAAAAAAACUCAGAAAAAUUAUACAAUGUCCCCCUUACUCCUAAUUUAAUCAAAAGUCCUUUCUUCCAUAUCAUUUCCCUUUUCAGUCUCAAGAAAUACUGCUAUUACAACAUCUUUAUUUAAUUGUGCUUUCCAAAUAUCAUCUUCCAAACCUAAAACUGAAUCUAAUGUCAUUUCACACUUCCAAAAUCCACUCUAAUAAAACACUUUAUCACCACUCUUUCCAAAAUAUAACUCAAGCGCUUGAUUACUAUACAUUCCAUAAGGUUACAUAAAUGAGGCAUUCACGAUAUAGGCCCUUAACUAGAAGGAUCAAAUGGGGAUCUGCCAGGUUUUAGAAUAGGCACUACUAUUUCCAUUUUCCAUGAGGAAAGUGGAUGCACAAUUCAAAUAUUUAAUAUUUUACAAAUGCGAAUUAUAUACAAUUACAAUUUCAAAUAUCACUCUUUCCUGGAGACACCUGACCUGCAUUAUUAAUAUACUUCUUAAAUUCAUACAAAGAAAUCUCUCCAUCCGUGAUACUAUCAUUGCUGCAGCUGACUUCCAGCACAUCAGGGUAUUCACUGAAAAACAUAUCCCUACAUUGUUUAACUUCUUCACUUAAAUUAUCCUGAUUAUGAAUCUCAGCAAAUGACCCAGCCAGUAACACAACCUUCCCUGUUUCAGUAACAAUCAUUUUGCCCUCAUUAAUCAACACUGGAAUAUUAUGAUCCCCACAAAUCCCAUUUUCUAAAUCAUAUCCCAAACAAUUUCAAGUUUGAUAUCCCUUCAUAUAAUCUCCAGUAAAUCACCUACUUCCUCACCACGGCCUUUGCCCAUUUGUUGUUAAUAAUGUAACUCGGAGACUGAUGCACCAUCACACAAAAACUCACAUUUCUCCCAAUUUGCUUCCUGUCCCAUUAUUAAUCCAAAUCCAAACUCAGAAAGACAGGAAGGCUGACUGACGUUCAAAUAAACUAAUCACCCUCUGAGUUCCCACUUGAGCGACGGGCACUACAGCCAAUGACAGCAGGGGUUAGUAUUAAAUUUGAGCUGCGAUAGGCUGGAGGAAAGCGGCCCAUGAUCAGCCCCUCCUCUUCCGCUCCAUCGCCAUGGCGGAGAUCAGCGAGUCGCUUCUGUCGGUGUCGCCGGCCUCGGCGCCCACAAGGACGGGUGUGAUUCCCCUUCGCGCCCCGGUGGGUCUGUUUCGGUGACGUCUGUGGUGGCUGACGAAACAUGCUUUGACAGGGAGCGAACGAGGACCAAUGACUACAACUCCCGGAAGGCCCCACUGAUGAUGUUGUGUUGUUGUUUCGGGCUUUCCCACCACAGAUGUAAGGCUCAAUGGUCUAUAAUUAUCGGGACUAUCCCUACUACCCUUUUUGAACAAGGGGACAACAUUCGCCUCCCUCCAAUACUCCGGUACAAUUCCCGUGGACAAUGGGGACAUAAUGAUCUUCGCCAGAGGCUCUGCAAUCUAUUUCCUUGCCUCGGAUGCAGAACUGGGAAGCGCAGAUGGAGUUCAACACAGAUGAAGAGGUUCAUUUCUGCAGGUCAAAUUUGAACACAGAAUAUAAUAUUAAUGGGACAUUACUCCUGACAUUGGUCCCAAGACCCAGCCUGUUUACAGAACCGGAGCGGAACUGGAGCAGAUUCUUAGACACUUGUUUUCAUCGCAAAUCCAGAAGACAGUUUAACGUUUUUUCGUGAAUUUAUUCCCAGUGAAGGUGUGGAGAUGGGACAUAGUCUCCGCGUUGUAAAAUGAAUCUGUCCCGGACUCGUAACUGAGAUAAACUCCCACCCUCCCGGGGUUGGGACAGGCAGCGAGUCGGGGUUCAGGGGAGGUGGCAACACUGAACAAAUCAUAAUUCAAGUCCGAUAACCCCUGUCCGAUGACCCAGAUCAGCCAGAUAGUGGCGUCUGUGUCCACAGGACACUCGAAGCUGCUGCGUCGGUUGAGAGUGUUGUUAAGAAGCCGUAUGGCGUACUGGGCUUCAUCAACUGUGGGAUUGAUUUCAAGAGCUGUGAGGUGAUGUUACAGAGGAACAACGCCUUAGUUAGACCACACCUGGAGUACUGUGUCCAAUUCUGGUUACCUCACUGCGGGAAGGAUGUGGAUACUAUACAGCGAGUGCAGAGGAGAUUUACAAGGGUGUUGCCUGGAUUGAAGAGCGUGCCUUAUGAAAACAGGCAGAGUGAACUUGGCCUUUACUCCCCGGAGCGCCGGAGGGUGAGGGAUGACCUGAUACACGUGUAUAAAAUGAUAAAAGGCACUGAUCGUGUGGAUUGCCAGAGGCUAUUUCCCAGGGAUGAAAUGGCUAACACGUGGGGGCACAGUUUUAAGGUGCUUGGAAGUAGGUACAGAGGGAAGGUCAGGGGUAAGUGUUUCACACAGAAAGUGGUGGUGCAUGGAAUGCAUUGCGAAGGUGGCAGAGGUGGAUAGAACAGGGCCUUUUAAGAGACUCUUAGUUAGGUACAUGGAGCUUAGAAAAAUAGAGGGCUAUGCGGUAGGGAAGUUCUUGACAGUUUCUAGAGUAUGUGACAUGGUCAGCACAUCAUUGUGGGCCGAAAGGCCUGUAAUGUGGUGUAGAAAUUUUGUUCACUGCCAACGGCGAGAUGCCGAACAGUGUUGCAGAGAGACAGUUCUUGGGAUGCAAGUUCACAGCUCGUUGGAUGUGGCGAAACAGGUCGAUUAGGUGGUGAAGGAGGCUUAUAGAAUACCGGCUUUUAUUCGUGAAGCGCUGAGUUCAAAAUCCAGGAGGUUAUAUUGUAAUUUAUAACACUCUGGUCAAACCAUGUCCGGAGUAUUUAUCUGAGGCUUCUGUGGUGCAUAUCUGGACAGUUCGGACGCAACAUCCAUGGUCGACCCUCUCCGACGGAGGCCUCACAAACUCACACUGAGAAAUAUACAAAUAACCAAUGUCCCAGCAUCCGACCCUGCGGUACACCACUUGUUCCAAACUUCCCUCAGAACAGAGAUGAGGAGGAAUUUAUUCAGAGUGGGGUGGUGAAUGUGAGGCAUUAAUUGCCCUAAUUCCUGCUGUCGGUAGUUGCCGGCCUCUGCGUCCAGAACGACAGGCGUGGUUCUCCUCCGACAUCACGGUGAAUCUGUUCCAACAGAUGUUUGUGAUGGCUGAGGAAUAGUGUUGAAGCACGGAGCGAGUGAGAAGCUGAGACAUUAGGACUACAACACCCAGUAGGCUCCGCGGCCCCGUAUGUUCGGCAGCUGAAGCUGACUGAAGCUGUAGUUCCUAUGAAAAGAGAGCGUUUGUGACUAUUCUUCAUUGAACAA